rnacentral:lncRNA from 1 species
UGAAACCGGCGGAUUUCUUAGUAUUUUUAAUUUGUUUCUCCUCCACCAAACCCUACGUGACCUUCUUCUCCUCUGCCGCACAACUCAAGUUCUCCGCCUGCAUCACUCCCGGCGUCACCUCCGAUCCAUGCCUCAUUGAAUCGCCGAUUACUCGUCACUGAAGUGAGAUUUCGUGAGUUUGAUAUUUGGCAUCUUGCCUCUCUCCCCGCCGACCUCGAGCGACGCUCUACCCUGCAUCCUUAUGUCGUCGCCCCCUCCCACCCACCCCAGUCGACCUCCAGAACCCUAGUUGGUCGUUGCCGCCUCCUUCUCCUCCGGUCGCGACACCCCGCUUCGGAGCCCUCGAUGCAGGCUAGCGGCUGGCUCUGCCUCGCUCUGCCUUGCUUCUCCCUAACUCUCUUAGUUUUUUUUUGUGAUUUUUUAAUUUUUUGCUUAAGGUUUUAUCUGGAAGCAAUUCCAUGAUUUGUGUUAUUUUAUUUUAUUUCAAUUUUAUUGCUAUUGUGGAUUUGUAGGUUUAAGCGAUAUUGGAUGAGGAGCCUGAACCAAAUAAAAAUCUGCCACUGGAAUUGUUAUCAGUAAGAUUUUUUCUUCAUUUGUGUCGUCACAAAUGUCUUCCGUGCUUUCUCAGCUGCUCUCUGAGUCUUUCUCUUCAUUUGUUGUUGCUAUUUUUUCUUCAUUUGUUGUUGCUAUUUUUUCUUUGCUAUUGCUGCAGUAAAUUACUACUCCAUAUGUUAAUUUAUAUCAAUCACUGAAUUUGUUAUCGCUGUUGUUGCUUUUGUAUUGUUGUUAAUCCAAUCUCUUAUGCUUAUUGGUGAAGUACAUAUUUUAGGCCCAAUUAAACUAGGGGCAACUUGAAUAUUUGAAGUUAGAUAGUGCUAACUUAACCUAAGUAGGUACCUUGUUUAUCCAUUUCUGUAUCAGUUUUCAGUUUCUUGGAUUUAGAGAUGAAAAGAAACUGAUUUAGUUCUUAUAUUGUGGAGCAUGCUCCUAUUGGUAUUUGCUAUUUUCAAGUGAGACAAAUUCUAGGUGUUGUACUCGCCAGAAGUUUGCCAGAAAUUAAAACAAGUGGUGAUUUCUUACAAAAUGAAUAAGCUCUAUGCUGCACAAAGUGGUCCAUAAAUGUAUUCUCCCUCCAAAUCAGUAGAUAAUUCUUCUUCAGUUUCUUGUUUCUUGGUUUUAAGGUUAUAACUGUGACUGUCCUUUUUUAUUGUAAUCAUGUGCUGAAAUUGUAAGAAANAAUAAAAAUAAAAUUGUGGUGAGCUAUGUUUCGUUUUGUGUUGAGCAAGAGUUCUUUAUUUUUAUUUUGUUGGGUUGAGGAAUCUUUUUUUAGUUCCAUUUAUGUAAAUUUUAGUAGCUAAUUAUUUUUGGCAUGUGUUCAUCAUUUCAUUCUGCAAUUUUUGCAGUAUAAAAAACUUAGCAAAGGAAUCUAAUAUAUUAACUAUAAUGUAAAAUGCUCAUUCCUGUUUUUCCUCUUCCAAUUAAUGUAGUCUAAAAUCUAGAAUAAUGGAGAAACUUCUAAACUGUAGCUUGUCAAAUCAUGAGAAUUAAUGAAGCUGAUAGAGGUUUGUCAAACCAUUCUUAUCCUGCAGUCGGCUAC